UACGGAGGAUCCAAGCGUUAUCCGGAAUCAUUGGGCGUAAAGAGCGUGUAGGCGGCUUGGUAAGUCCGCUGUGAAAGUCCAGGGCUCAACCCUGGAAAGCCGGUGGAAACUGUCAAGCUUGAGUCCGGAAGAGGCGAGUGGAAUUCCUGGUGUAGCGGUGAAAUGCGCAGAUAUCAGGAGGAACACCAAUGGCGAAGGCAGCUCGCUGGGACGGUACUGACGCUGAGACGCGAAAGCGUGGGGAGCAAACAGG
rnacentral:rRNA from 1 species